GGCCACGAUGCGUAGCCGACCUGAGAGGGUGAUCGGCCACACUGGGACUGAGACACGGCCCAGACUCCUACGGGAGGCAGCAGUAGGGAAUCUUCGGCAAUGGACGAAAGUCUGACCGAGCAACGCCGCGUGAGCGAUGAAGGCCUUCGGGUCGUAAAGCUCUGUUGUCAGAGAAGAACAAGUAUCGGAGUAACUGCCGGUACCUUGACGGUACCUGACCAGAAAGCCACGGCUAACUACGUGCCAGCAGCCGCGGUAAUACGUAGGUGGCAAGCGUUAUCCGGAAUUAUUGGGCGUAAAGCGCGCGCAGGCGGUUCCUUAAGUCUGAUGUGAAAGCCCACGGCUCAACCGUGGAGGGUCAUUGGAAACUGGGGAACUUGAGUGCAGGAGAGAAAAGUGGAAUUCCACGUGUAGCGGUGA
rnacentral:rRNA from 2 species